rnacentral:rRNA from 1 species
UGGGGAAUAUUGCACAAUGGGCGAAAGCCUGAUGCAGCGACGCCGCGUGAGGGAAGAAGGUUUUCGGAUUGUAAACCUCUGUCCUCAGGGAAGAAAAUGACGGUACCUGAGGAGGAAGCCACGGCUAACUACGUGCCAGCAGCCGCGGUAAUACGUAGGUGGCAAGCGUUGUCCGGAAUUACUGGGUGUAAAGGGAGCGUAGGCGGGUAGGCAAGUUGAAUGUGAAAACUAUGGGCUCAACUCAUAGUUGCGUUCAAAACUGUUUAUCUUGAGUGAAGUAGAGGCAGGCGGAAUUCCUAGUGUAGCGGUGAAAUGCGUAAAUAUUAGGAGGAACACCAGUGGCGAAGGCGGUCUGCUGGGCUUUAACUGACGCUGAGGCUCGAAAGCGUGGGUAGCAAACA